UUGAGGACUGGGGAAGGGGGGGGGGCAAAAAAACCAAGUUUCUUCUUCCCUCAGGCCUUGCAGCUGGCUCCUACCUCCCAUCUAGCGCCUUGGUCCCUCUUCCUCUAAUUUCCCUUUCCUUUCUCAGUUCCCCUCCCUCUCUCCCUCACAGGGAAUGGGGGAGGGGUAUGAUGCUUGGCUCUGUGCUUCCUCCCGCUCCAUCCCCUAGCAUCUCCAGUUGAGGCUGAUGUCCUAAUCUUCCCAACCUCGGGCCAAAAAGACCUGAGAGGGGAGUGAGGGAUAAAAAGGUGGUGCUACCUAAGAGGAGAGGCUAGCUGUGUGCCCCCUCCCACUGAAGGCCCCCCUUCCUCCUCUCUGGUUGUGGAAGCCUUCUUGGCUAUCCCCUGCACUCCAAUCUCACCCGAAAGGCCCUGGGAGGACAGGGUGAGCAGAGCCUGGGGGCGGGGGAUCCCCUCUGCCCUGGCUGGCUCUCUCACCCUCCCCCUCAUACCCCCGCCCGCCCCCAGCCCCGCUCCUCCCGCUCAGUUCCACUUGUGGUCUCCGCCGGCAGGGCAGGGACAGCUGCAUUUCUCGCAACGGGCCACUAGGAAGCUUGCCGGCGCCUCGCAUUCUCCUCCUUCUCCCGCCCCAGCCGGAGCCAGAGCCGAAGCCGGAGCCCGAGAUUGCACCCCCUUCCCCAGAGCUGCGUCCCAGCACCGUCACCCCACCUAGCCUGUGGCUUUCCAGGGCUACUAAAGGCGGGACUCACACUCCAUCCAGGUUAUAGGGAAGAGAGUGGAGGAGCGCCCCUCGCUUGUCUUGGGUCUCGGCUCAGGUCUCACCUGCUCCAGGAAAUCUUUAAGGAUUCUCUUAGGAAUGAGUGGAAUGUUUGUUUCCCUACCCCUUUUUAUUGAAAGCUUCAAAACUUUACAAGUGAUUAUAGGAACAUCUGUGUAGGGCCAAAAGAGACUUCCAAGGCCAUUUUUUUGACCUUGUCAUUUUACAAAUGAUGAAAUUGAGACCUAGGGAGAUCAAUUGACAUUUGCUGAACAUCACA